UACGUAGGGGGCAAGCGUUGUCCGGAAUCAUUGGGCGUAAAGCGUGCGCAGGCGGUUGUGCCAGACCGGUGUGAAAUCCCCGGGCUUAACCUGGGAACUGCACUUGUGACUGCACAGCUGGAGUACGGCAGAGGGGGAUGGAAUUCCGCGUGUAGCAGUGAAAUGCGUAGAUAUGCGGAGGAACACCGAUGGCGAAGGCAGUCCCCUGGGCCUGUACUGACGCUCAUGCACGAAAGCGUGGGGAGCAAACAGG
rnacentral:rRNA from 1 species